rnacentral:rRNA from 1 species
CCUACGGGGGGCUGCAGUGAGGAAUAUUGGUCAAUGGUCGGGAGACUGAACCAGCCAAGCCGCGGGAGGGAUGAAGGUACAGAGUAUCGUAAACCUCUUUUGUCAGGGAACAAAGGCGGGGACGUGUCCCCGGAUGAGUGUAACUGAAGAAAAAGCAUCGGCUAACACCGUGACAGCAGCCGCGGUAAUACGGAGGAUGCGAGCUUUAUCCGGAUUGAUUGGGUUUAAAGGGUGCGCAGCCGGUCUGUUAAGUCAGCGGUCAAAGCCCGGGGCUCCACCCCGGCACGCCGUUGAAACUGGCAGUCUCGAGUUGGAGAGAAGUAUGCGGAAUGCGCGGUGUAGCGGUGAAAUGCAUAGAUAUCGCGCAGAACUCCGAUUGCGAAGGCAGCAUGCCGGCUCCACACUGACGCUGAGGCACGAAAGCGUGGGUAUCGAACAGGAUUAGAUACCCCGUAGUC